rnacentral:rRNA from 1 species
GACGAACCGUGCGAACGUUGUUCGGAAUCACUGGGCUUAAAGGGCGCGUAGGCGGGUGUGCAAGUCUGUGGUGAAAGCCCCCAGCUUAACUGGGGAAGUGCCGUGGAUACUGCACAUCUUGAGGAGGGUAGGGGCAUCUGGAACGGUCGGUGGAGCGGUGAAAUGCGUUGAUAUCGACCGGAACUCCGGUGGCGAAGGCGAGGUGCUGGACCCUUUCUGACGCUGAUGCGCGAAAGCCAGGGGAGCAAACGGG